GCCGCGUGGUCCGUAGCCGGCGCAUGCGCGGUGCUGGGGAGCAAGAUGGCGGCGAGCAGGGAGGGUGUUUUCGCUCGGCGGGGGCGGGUGAGGGCCGAGGCCGCCUGGAGUCGAGCAUCUGAGGGCCCCGCUGCCCCAAAGCCAUGGGCUUCCCCAGUGCAGCAUGGCAGCAUGUGUCGAUGGGUCCUCCGUUGCCUCUGACAUCUCCCCAGGCACUCGUAUGCUGCGCAGGGGCCUGGAUGUCUCCAGCAGUGGCACAGCAGCCGGAUGCCUCCUCUCGUCUGGGACGCGGGGUCCUUCGCCGCUCUUCUGGGAUACGGGGCCCUUGGGUAGUCCACCAAAGGGGGAUGCCUUGAAGAGAAGCAGCUAGAACUAGUGAUCCAGUUGUUCAUUUUGGUCAUCACCUGUGAGGCCAGCAUCCAAGCAUAAGAAGAAUCUAGGAGCUGUAUCAAAAAGGUAAUAGGUUUGAACCGGAGACAGGCAAAUCAAGGCUUAUCGUUCUUCCAUGUAGUUAAAGACCAACAGAAUUGUUGGUUAAGUGCCUGUGUACAAGGGUUUGAGAACAGUAAUAAUAAUACUGAAGCAGAAUAAAAACACGCUUUCAUGGAAGAUGGCAUACUUAAGUAUUAGGUAAUGCGCUCACCUGUCUAAUAACCUAGCCCUAAUUGCUGUAAUGUUUCCAGACUGUUUACCCUGUAAUGUAUGAUGCAAAGUGCUGUAUGACCUUUCUUUUAAGGAAAAGGGGGGAAGAAACAGGAAAAAAAGAAAAAGAACAUGGUAAAGAGAAAAAAAAACCUGCAUAAAUCUAAGUGUUUCACUGAAAGUAAAAUGCAAGUUUAUCUCUUUGUUGCAGAGGCGGAACCAAUGAUAGCAAAUGCUGACAAAGAGAAAAAAUGGGCAAGCAGUUUUUUGUGAUUAAUACCUAAGGGAUGGGAUGAAGCAAGGAAGCAAAAAUGCAGCAGACCCUUAAUAGCACCAGAAACUGCUACAGUAGGAGAUGUUCUCCUGGCCUCCCAGAGGUAGCACUGAGGACUAAGUAACCUAUUCCUACCCUGUGGCUAUUGUUAACUGUAUCUGCCUUAGUUUUGCUUUGGCUGUUUCUAUUUUGUUUUGUUAUUGUACAUGUAUAUAUAGAAAGGGGAAUAUAUACUACUUCCUUUUUUAGAUUAAUUGCUAUGGCUGAAGAGACUAAAAAAUGUAAGCAAGCUGAUGUAAUAAAAUCAAAGUGGAACCAAGUGAAAGCUGUCUCCCUCUGCCAGAAAUGGAAAGCCCAUUCCUCCUGGCAAGGAAGGAUCACCAUUAAUAGUGAUCCGAAUAACAGAUCACCAACAUAAAACAGAAGGUUUGUGUGCAUUACAAGAAGUAUGCUGCGUGCGUUCAUUUUCGUGCGGGUAACUUGUCUGUGUCUGUGACAUGUCUGUGAAGCAUCAUACUUGAUGAGCUGCGAGACAGCGAAUUAUUAUCUUAGGGGAAUGGUGGUGAAGUGACCCGAGUUACUGAAGAGGAAGUGAGAGGGAGAGGGAGAGGCGUCUGAAGUGUAAAAUUAAGAGAUCAAUUUUAGGAAGGCUCAAUUAGUGCAACUGCUGGUUAGUUACUUGGCAAUGGUUUUUGGGGAAGCAGGAGGACGGUAGACAGAAGAAAAGUUAAAGGCUUGUGGCAUUAAGGCUCCUUCUCAUCAGUUCCAACUUAGAGCAAUUUUAGGAGGAUUUAAUUUCCUCCAGCAGUGUUAAUGUGGCUUUGCCGGUAUCAGCAGACCGUGGUGGAAAGUACUGGGAGGGAGUCGGGAAUGGAGCUGGAACAAGGAAUGUGACGCUGCUUUCACUAAACUGGGAGAAGUGACUGUAACACCUCCUGCCCUCAAAUUCCCAGUACAAGGCAAGCCUUUUUCAGUAAUGCUUUCCACAUCUGCUGACUCCGUGGGAGCAGCACUGUUAGAAAACGGCGGUAAAGGGAACGUGGGUGCCAGUAGGCUGAUCCUUACAUCCCCUUCGGGGCCAGAACAGAAAUUCUCUGGCUGUGAGAAUGUUUAGCAGCAAUCUGGGCUGACACCGUUUUUGAGACUUUUACCCUUGAUAGCACCGAGGCAGUCCAAUCUGCUCAAUUCCCUCUAAAGCAGUAAGGUCAGGGAAAUGAAUAGACAGCAACUGGCACAGUGGGUGCUAACCUUAACGAGCAGGGGGGUUGCUGUGCAAGUGUUACAAGCAGUGGAUCUUCUUGUGCGUGUCUGAAUUGACGGGGGGGCAGAGCACGGUUGCGCAAAAAAUGUGGAUGCAGAAGGUUUCUGAAAGAUUAAUCUCUAGCAGCUACUUAGUCUAACUUCCCUUUCACAGACAGCCCGACUGUCCUCAUAGCUUCCAGAACAGGGUUUGGGGGAAGCAGUACUUGUGGCUUGCGUAUUCUCGUUUACCUUGCUUGUGUGCGUAUUAGAGCCGCUUUUGUGCUUAUAAACAACUUUGGAUUCUUACGAUUCUGCAGAGUUUUGAUUUUUUUUUUUUUUUGCUUUGCUUUAUGCUUUUGUAGGGUGAUGGAUUUUACUAUGCCUCCAUCAACGAGCGCUGGCUGACAAAGUUGUUAUGUCCCAACAGAGACUCUUAGGAGAGACGGAGGAGUUCAGAUCCGCAGCCUGCCAGAAUAACGUUGCCCGGGAGGGGUUGCUAGCCUCGAGCUAUAGGUGCUGGCACGUGUGGCUCAUUCUGUCAGAUGCGAAGAGGUUUUCUUUGGUUGCAGAAAUGUUAGCUUGCCUUUACACCCUGUAGCGAUAGUAUUUUUGUAUUGAUAAACUGUGUUAAUCCUAGGCGUUCAGAACCUCGGGGAAUGACUGUAUGCUGCCAUGAAGAACUACAGGCUACCACUGCCCUCGGACCUUUGUAAGUUAUCACGUGUCGAGUGUCCAGGAGAAUCCAAAUGCCAGCGGAAAGUUUCUCUGCCUGGUCUUGACGAGGAGCCUUUGGCCGUAGGAAGGUUGGUCGCGUCCUUACCGGACUUGUGAGUAAAAAGCCACAAUGUGUGGACCAGCAAAGGGGUGGGGGAAUAGCGACUGGGCUACCAGUCGCUAUGGCAUUGCUGUUGCUAGCAGGGCCACGAGGUCUGUGCGAAGCCUCACCUGCCUGUUUGGAGCUCUGUUUUGGUCUGUUUACCUGGAAUAACCAGUGAGGCCUAAAAUAAGAAUUUUCGUGGCUAGAUGGGUAAGCUGUGACCCCACCCAUCUUUGCCUUGCUUUGCUGCUUAAUGUCAUAACGGCCACUUGGGACGCCAGAGUAAAAACUGCUACAGCGCUUAAGGGAGGAUCUGCAUUUGCCCAGGCUAGGGAGCCAUCGUAAAAGUUUUGGGAGAAAAAAAAAAGCUCUAAAAUGAGAAUCUCCCAGUGACCUUGGUGGUUUGCUUCAUUUGCAGGAUACUGUUCUGAGGGCCAGCAACUUGAAGAGGAGCAGCUCAGCCUGUUUUGUUGAUUUUGGUGAUACUGUUUUGAGGAGGCACGUAAGUACAGAAGGGGUCUGGCAGGGUUUUCAAACAAGAUGGGAAAGAGCAACGAAGAUUUGAGCGUGUGGAAAAACUAGGUGCCAUGGGUACUGAGGUUGUUAAGGGCAUUUGGGGCUGAGCAUCUGAAAGGGGCUAAUGCACAAGGAGUAGUAAAAUACAGUGACCAAACGCAGGGUUCCUCCCCGGCCUGGGCCUGUGCAUGCACCCUCAGUCUUGCAGAUGCCCUGGAGCCGUAGGGAGAUGGGCAAGCAGGCCCACGAGCGGACUUUGGGCACAGUGGCAUGCAGACAGCUCUGCGUGCUCGGCAAGUGAGUGGAGUCGGAGCGUGGCGAGGGCUGUUGCGGGCUGUCAGGAUCCAUCCGGUUCCGCUCCCUGUCCCUCUGUCCAGCGCUCCAUCCUUCUCUUUCUUUCCCUGUGGCUCUGUCCUGUGCCCCAUCCCUUUGUUUAGCUACUCAUUCCUCUGCCCAGCUCCCCAUCCCUCUGUACUCUUUCCAGCUCUCUCAGUAUCGCCAUCCCUCUGACUGGCUCCCUAUCGCUCUAUCCAGCCCUUCAUCAUUCUCUUGCUUUCCCUAUCCCAUUACCUGCCUGCUGUCCUUCUGUCCGGCUCCCCAUCCAUCUGCCGCUCUCUUCUGUCUCUGUACUUCUCUUUGCCUUCCCAGGCCUCUGUCCACCUCUCCAGCCUUCUCUCUCUGUUUCCGCUGCUCUGUUCAGCUCCUCACCCAUCUAUUUGCCUCCCUGUCCCUCUUCUUCCCUGUUUUGUCCCAUCUCUCUGUCUGACUUCCCCUCCCUCUUUUUUUCUCCCCACCUUUCUGGCCAGUUCUUCAUCAUUCUCAUUCUCUUCCCAUCGCUCCGACCGGCUCUCUGUCCCUCUCUUCCAGUCUCCAUUCCUCCGUCCGGUUCUCCCCCCUUUUCUUUUGCUCCCUGUCCCUCUGCCUGCCUCCCCUCCCCUCCUUGCCCCUCUUUAUUCUUCUGCCCACCUCCCCUUCCCUCUUUUUCUCUCUUCUGCUCCCUGGUCCUCUGUGUAGCCCUCCAUCCACCUGUGUGGCCCUCUCUCCCUCUCUUUCCGUUCCUUUGUCCAGCGCACUGACCCUGGGGCCAGAUCUCUAUCCUCUUUCUUUCUAUCCUCUUUCUUUCUCCAUCCAUCUGCCAAGAUCUCUACCCCUCUUUUCUGUUCUGCUCCCUGUCCCUGUGUCCAGCUGAAGAUCUGUCAUUGCUGUGUGUUUUGUCUGGGGUGACAGGCACCAAGAGGCAGUUGGCGCUCAGCGGAGAUGAUUGGCAGCGCCCAGAGGGUGCCAUCAAUCGGCCUGGUUCGGGUCACGUCAGACACCUCUGCACUGACUCUGCCUGUGGAGGUGUGGGGCUGUGGGUGUGCAGUGGGGGAGCACUAGUGGGCUAAAGAUGCUGUGGGAUAUAUAGUAGACAGCAAAGAGGCUCCAGGGGCUCCUCAGGAUGGUGUCACGGAGGGAGAGAGCAGCAGAGGCUCCGAGUACUCGAGCGUUAGGACAGGUGCUCGUGGCAGGGCGGUCUGGAGCAUCUGCUGUUGUCGUCUGUCCUACUUGUCAGCACGGUCUGCAGUUACUGCGUCUUUUCCACCUGUGCGCAGCCAGGGCUGCUGCGCGAUGCAGCUUGAGUCGUGAGCGCAACACUGGCAUCGAGGCCACUUUUCUAUCAGGUCUGCCUUUAUGCAAACUGGUGUUUUUCCUAUGUCUACAGCUCAACCCAUUUUGUUGAUUUAGUGCUUCCUGAGGGGCUAUGCUGUGCUGUCAACACCCACACCCCCUCCCUGCUGUCACUUCCUGAUGAAGAAUGCUUUGAGUUUAUCUUAGCAAGUGCAAUCACUUACCUAGUUUCUGGCUCGUUUCUUUCCUUGGGACUCCGUGCUCUUUGCUGUUCUGGCCCCUCCAAACAAUUUCUGUUUCUAGUUUUACUAAUGUUGGGCCGUAAACCUUCUGGAGCUUCCUUCUUUGAAGUCAAGGGGUUCAAGGGAUUCUGGUGUUGUUUGUACUUUGAAAGUAAAGGUCCUUCACAACUGAUGUCUUAAGUAUGCAGCUGUUUUACCUGGGAUUUUUGCUUUCGCAAAUUACAGUUUCUUUCAGGAGCCAGCUACAACAGUAACUUUGCUAUAGCAGAGAAAUGGGGUUACAUGUGUAUGAGCAACAGCACCAUAGUACACAGCAAAACCGUAAUCUACGGUGCUGGUAGCAUGAGUCGGUUUCCCAUCAGCUCUGUCUCUCCAGGAUUUGGAGUUUUUGGAGGCCUUAGUUUUUAUCCUGCCUUGGCUGGACAGUGCUUUCUGAGAGUGUCCAUCAAAGGCAGAGUUUCCCUGAGAAGGACCACCUACCGAAGGCUGGAGGUGGCCGGGUGCCUGAGCGAGGCUGACUGUCCGUGAGAGCUGCUGUGACAUCUUUGUGAUGAAAUGGAGCCAGAGAGGGUGACUGAAGCAGCAUGGAGGGUCAGUCAUAACUGUGGGAACAAUUACGAGCCUUGGACUAGGGAGUAGUUCUAGGAGGGCUGUGCAGUUGCCUGGCCUCUCACUAACUGCUCUGGCCUCUUUGCAGGUGCCGAAGCCCAGUCGGGCAGUCGAAGGAGCCUCGUCGCAGCUGGGAGCUCUGCGGAGAUGCGCGGCUGGCCAUGGAGGGUGAGCUCUGACUUGCAGCGUGGACACAGCUAAGUCCUGGGCCGCAUCGUACACGAGCAGGGCUGGGAGGUGCAAGGUGGUUGUCCCCUAGGUGGUCACUGGCGUCGCUGGCUGUGGAUGUUUGCCCAUGGAGCUGAGAGGACCAAAAAUAUUAAUUGUCUGACACAGAGAUGAGUUAGUGCUUGCAGGGUUUCAGGUAGGUUCAGUGGGAGUGCAGCUUAGUGCAGUCCCAUGGAGUGAUUCUUGCACAUGCUCACAUUUGAAUGGUGGCUAAAACCAAGCCUCUAAACAGCAACUGUAAUGUGAUUCUGGUGCGUGUCUUCCUGUUCUGCUGUGCUUCUGUUUGAAGGGAAACUGCUUAAGCUGUAGGCAAAACUCCUUGGCUUCCCUUGACUGUUUCCAUGCUCAUGGGUGCUUUGGUGUUUGUUGCUUAAAGCUGAGGGUCUGGAAUUUUUCACUUAAGGUUUAUUGUUUAGUUUGUUGUUGAGGGUCUCUCACUCCGAAGUUAUGGUUUAUUACUUUCUCUUGGGGGACUCAGUCUUUAUCAGUCAGGGUUUACAGUUUGCUCAUUUAGCGAUCAGGGUGCAGAAUUUAAAAUCCAACCUCAUCCAUAAAUUUUAAAGCCUCGGCAGCCAUUUGGGUUCCAAGACUUGCAGUUUGGCACUUAGGGUUCAGGGCUUAUGACUUACUGAUAAACGAAAAGGGCUAAGUCCUUAGAUAAUAAACUGUAAGCCCUGAAGCCUAAGCAGCAGGCUGCAAACCCUUCUUUGGGGUUUGUAACCUUCCCCUGUAUCCAGCGUUCAGCUCUGCGCGCUGACCUGAGCGCUGGAUUUGAUAUGGCGCAGGCCCAUCACACUGAGACUGGCAGUGUGACGGGUGAGCUGAGAGCUGUGGAGGUGUCUUGCAGGGCUCUAGUCAGGUAGGGCGGAAGUGCAGACAGGCGAGAUCAGGCAUUUUCCUCUCAACUCUCAGAGCUGAAUCCUAUCCCUGAAGGAAAAAGCAGAGGAGUAGGCUGUCGGCUACUCAGACAUCUGUCACGUCAAGGGCAGCAGCAGGAGCUGACCCUUUCCUGAUGGAUGACAGAUGGACGCUGGUGUGGUGAUGACUCUUCAGGCAUCACAGGUAAGGGGAAGCAUGCUAGCACUCCAUGGCUUCCACAUGUUGUUUCUGCACAGUAAAACAAUAAACAGUUGCUUUAUUCUUUGCA